rnacentral:lncRNA from 1 species
GUGCGGUUGGUGCAACCGCACCGUACGAGCGCGCUUGCAGAUAUAUUUCUUUUUCCAAUUUUUCUAGGUAAACCCGCGCUGUGGGAGCAGAGCGCUCACUCUAUCAAAGGCCUACGUGCGAAUUAGAAGAAUUGUUCGAAACGAAUGGCAAAGCCCGCAAAGACGAACGCGCCGAGAGACGAAGCCGAUGAAGAAGGUGCCAUUGACGCCGUGGGCAGAGCGGACGGCGAAACGGACGGAGAGGGCGAAGCAAAAGGCACACCCGACGCAGACGGCGAAGGAGAGGGAGACGCCGAGGCCUCGAUCGCCUCGGCGCAAAUCGCCGAUACGACGAGGACAGUUGCCGCGGCGAUCAUGAGUCGGAUCAAGGACAGGCGUGACAUGGUCGGCAGAGGACGACGGCGCAUGCGCAGACAGCGACAAAGUGGUGAGAAGCCAAAGGCGACAAGAGGAUAGGAAAAAAGCGGGCGCGCGGGCGGUCUUUUUAUUGUUUUGUCUUGUUUUGUGAUUGGUCAAUGAUAUGGCGCAUUUGCUUGGUU